rnacentral:rRNA from 1 species
UGGGCAACCUGCCUCUAGCUCUGGGAUAACUCCGGGAAACCGGGGCUAAUACCGGAUACGACCUUGAACGGCAUCUAUCGAGGUGGAAAGUUUUUCGGCUAGAGAUGGGCCCGCGGCCUAUCAGCUUGUUGGUGAGGUAACGGCCCACCAAGGCGACGACGGGUAGCCGGCCUGAGAGGGCGACCGGCCACACUGGGACUGAGACACGGCCCAGACUCCUACGGGAGGCA